GCAGGGGUCGCAUAGCCUGGUCAAUUGCACCGGUUUCAGGGAUCGGUUGGUUAGUCCAUACGCGAGUUCAAAUCUCGCCCCCUGCA
rnacentral:tRNA from 1 species